rnacentral:rRNA from 1 species
UACGUAGGGUGCGAGCGUUAAUCGGAAUUACUGGGCGUAAAGCGUGCGCAGGCGGUGAUGUAAGACAGGUGUGAAAUCCCCGGGCUUAACCUGGGAACUGCAUUUGUGACUGCAUCGCUGGAGUGCGGCAGAGGGGGAUGGAAUUCCGCGUGUAGCGGUGAAAUGCGCAGAUAUCGGGAGGAACACCAGAGGCGAAGGCGGCGACCUGGACAGUAACUGACACUCAACUACGAAAGCGUGGGGAGCAAACAGG